rnacentral:rRNA from 1 species
UACUGUCAUUAUCAUCCCUGGUAAAAGAGCUUUACGACCCGAAGGCCUUCAUCACUCACGCGGCAUUGCUGGAUCAGGCUUUCGCCCAUUGUCCAAUAUUCCCCACUGCUGCCUCCCGUAG